UAGGGAAUAUUGCGCAAUGGGGGAAACCCUGACGCAGCAACGCCGCGUGAGUGAGGAAGGUCUUCGGAUUGUAAAACUCUUUUAUCAGGGAAAAAUGGUCAUGGAGCUAAUACCCCAUGAUUUGAUGGUACCUGAGGAAUAAGCACCGGCUAACUUCGUGCCAGCAGCCGCGGUAAUACGAAGGGUGCAAGCGUUGUUCGGAAUCAUUGGGCGUAAAGCGCGCGCAGGCGGAUCAGCAAGUCAGAUGUGAAAUCUCGAGGCUCAACCUCGAAACUGCGUCUGAAACUGCUAGUCUAGAAUGUCGGAGGGGGCAGGGGAAUUUCACGUGUAGGGGUAAAAUCCGUAGAGAUGUGAAGGAACACCGGAGGCGAAGGCGCCUGCCUGGACGACUAUUGACGCUGAGGCGCGAAAGCGUGGGGAGCAAACA
rnacentral:rRNA from 1 species